UACGUAGGGGGCUAGCGUUGCUCGGAAUCACUGGGCGUAAAGCGCACGUAGGCGGAUUGCUAAGUCAGGGGUGAAAUCCUGGAGCUCAACUCCAGAACUGCCUUCGAUACUGGCGAUCUUGAGUCCGGGAGAGGUGAGUGGAACUCCGAGUGUAGAGGUGAAAUUCGUAGAUAUUCGGAAGAACACCAGUGGCGAAGGCGGCUCACUGGCCCGGUACUGACGCUGAGGUGCGAAAGCGUGGGGAGCAAACAGG
rnacentral:rRNA from 1 species